ncrna:unclassified sequences chromate-resist RNA
UCGGGCCAAAGGCAGUCGCCCGACGACACAGGCGAUCGUUCGCCCAAGCGCUGC